UUUGUGAUAGCAGGUGCAGUUUGAGUACUACAGUAAACGUUCAGUUUCGGAACUUUUUCUUUUACCUGCUAAAACCAAAGAGGACCUUUUUUUAUUUUUACUUCUGAUUGUUGAACAGUCUUAAGGCAGCAUUAGGAAGACUGGUGAUUUGUGUGGAGAAAUGAUGACUUGUUGUUUAUGCAUACUUUGUGUGUCCAGUGCUUACCUGGAAUUUUGUCUUUCUCAACAGCAACAAUGGUGUGGUUGGUGAAUAUGGCAGAAGGAGACCCGGAAGCCCAAAGGAGAGUAUCCAAAAAUUCCAAGUAUAAUGCAGAAAGCACAGAAAGGGAGUCACAAGACACUGUUGCAGAGAAUGAUGAUGGCGGCUUCAGUGAGGAAUGGGAAGCCCAGAGGGACAGUCAUCUAGGGCCUCAUCGCUCUACACCUGAGUCACGAGCUGCUGUCCAGGAACUUUCCAGCAGUAUCCUCGCUGGUGAAGACCCAGAGGAAAGGGGAGUAAAACUUGGAUUGGGAGAUUUCAUUUUCUACAGUGUUCUGGUUGGUAAAGCCUCAGCAACAGCCAGUGGAGACUGGAACACAACCAUAGCCUGUUUUGUAGCCAUAUUAAUUGGUUUGUGCCUUACAUUAUUACUCCUCGCCAUUUUCAAGAAAGCAUUGCCAGCUCUUCCAAUCUCCAUCACCUUUGGGCUUGUUUUCUACUUUGCCACAGAUUAUCUUGUACAGCCUUUUAUGGACCAAUUAGCAUUCCAUCAAUUUUAUAUCUAGCAUAUUUGCAGUUAGAAUCCCAUGGAUGUUUCUCCUUUGACUAUAACAAAAUCUGGGGAGGACAAAGGUGAUUUUCCUGUGUCCACAUCUAACAAAAGUCAAGAUUCC
rnacentral:sRNA from 1 species